ACCGACUGUUAAUUGUUAGCCUGCAUCACAAAUACAAUCUUUGCUGAAGGCUUAAUGUUUCAUUUGAGUAUAUGAGGCUACUCUCAUUGCAAUAAUUAGGAUUUUUUUUUCUUUUCUUUUAGUUAAUUAGAAAAAAUGGUGUAGAAGAAGAAAUAGAAAUGGGCCCAAUAGCUUGCUCCAUUCCUAAGCAGGUGUAGAGGCCUAAACCCAAACAAACCCUAGCCUAGGAAAUCAACCUGCAGGAGAAAUGAACAAAGGAAAGCAUCGCCGUACAUGAUAGAGGAAGAAUGCCACCAACCAAAUCAUCCUUGCAGAGACAUCAAGGUUGCCCCAGUGACAUGCAGGCCAGAAGGACCCAAGAGCAAACGAAGCAGAAAACUAAUAACCCAUGGGUAUUGCAGACAAAGAAGACAAACACCGGUCAAUAGAGGGGUGGAAAGUGGCAUACUCUUCGGUAUCUCACUCAUGCCUUCCGGGUUAGGCUGAUCUGCAUCACACCCUACGAGUGACCACCCUCCAUAACUCGUCAACCUUCCCCUCAGUAACCCAAUGCUAUAGCAAUCAAACAGAACGAGACCAAGAACAAACAUCAGACCUGCAGAUCAAGAAACCCUCAAAUCUGCAGCAAAACCAAACGCAAUUAUUUAUGCACAAACCAUCUCUCCCGAAGGUGAGGAGGGAGACCCACUUCUGGGACAGGAGACGGAGACCCCCCCUGAGUCGCGAAAUCAGCAAAGAUGGAGGCCUACGAGCCUCAGAGAACCGAAGGACCACUUGUCAGUCUGAACAUGCAUAUGUUAUUAUUAUGUCAAAAUCAUUGCUAUAAAGCUUAAAUGCUUGAAUGAAGCACUAUAGGAAGGAGACAUGAACAAAAAUUAUUAUAACCAAAAUUUAUAACUCAAGUGACUUGUAUAAAAUAUGAGUUAGGUACUUAAAGAUCAGUAUAAAAUCUUAAGUUCAAAUUUUAUUUUUGUUUUUGUAAGAAGUACCCACAUCUAGAUACUAUAUCGUUGUGUGAUGUAUUGUAUGCAUUAAAAGAAGUGUGAUGGACUUUGAGUUUAAUAUAUUUUCACUCAAAUCCUUAACAUUGUUCUUGAAUUUUUAAGAUAGAGUUAGACCACUUGGUAAAUCUUAAUUACAUGGGUUUGAUUAUUUUUGGACAUAAAUUAGGUCUCUGCCUCUGCCGCUCUGUACCGCCCUUACACCCAAGCCUCUGGCAACCCUCCACUACCUCUCUCUGUCCUCUCUGCAACUCCAAAUGUCAUUGCUUUUCUUGUAUCACAAUCCUGAAUCAGGCUUUUAUCGACAAUGUUCAGAUCCUCUUCUCUGUUCCUUUAUCAUUUCUCUCGUUUCCCAUGUCGUAUUCUUUGCUGCAUUUCUUACUCUCUCUUCUCAAUGCAAAAUCUGGUCUUCUUUAGAUUUCAUUUUAAACUUUGUAGUUUAAACGAACCCAAAUUGACAUUUAGCCUUGAACCCAAAUUGACAUUUUAAACUUUAGAUUUCAUUCCUGGUUCUUCUUUAGCCUUGAAGAAAUGAUGUGGGCAAGUGUAACACGAAAAGUUCUCACUGGCAGCUGUUCUGCUUCUUUGAUCAGUAGUUUUAGAACAAUCAUUGCUAGGUACUCAAUCUAAUUUGGUACCAUCAUCACGAUCUUACUUUAUCGCCUUGAAGGAGAUACUGCCACUUGAAAGAAGAUCAAACAGCUCACAAAAUGUUGAUUCCCAUGGUUAUCUAAGAUUUCCAUGGUUUCUUUGAAUUUCAUGUGUUUACAGGAUUUCCAAUUGGUUCAAGUCCUGUAAGGGCAUUUUCUUCAGAUAGGCUUAAAAUAUCUGUUUCGCUUUCAAAAUCUUCAGCAACAGAAUCUCAAGUGCCUUCUAAUGAAGGGGAAAGAAGAGGAAGUGUCAUCAACUUGGCUAUUCUAUUCUUUUCUAAAAUGAAAUUCCUUUUGAGUGGUCUGAUUGAAGGUCUUGAGGGGUUGAGGGUGUAAAACUUAUUGUUCUUGUUCUUACUUUUCUUCCUCUACCUAUUAUCUAAAAGGAAUCCUGCUAAUGCUACUUUCAAAUUUGCCACUUGUGUUAUUGCAGGUAAAAAGGCAUAUUGCAACAAGACUUCCUUUCAUCGAUGCAUUCUUGUUGAAGCUGAAGAAGGAAAAAGAUCUACUUGCUAACAAGAAAAUUUGGUCUCGUAGAUCUGUUUUUAUACCAGAAUUUGUGGGUUACACGGUACGAAUUUGCAAUGGAAGAACAUUUGUUCGUUGUAAGAUCACAGAAGCAAAGGUCGGUCAUAAAUUUGGAGAGUUUGCUUACACACGACAGCGAAGACUCCUUAGAGUAAGUACUGCAACUGGAAAAAAGAAGGGGAAAAAAUAGGCUGAAGUAAAAAUGGGACAAAAAGAAAUCUGAGUUUUUUAGGACUUUCUUAUGAACUACAUCAAAUUUGAUAGCUGAUAAUGAUCAUGAAAGUCACAAAUCUUCAUGUGUUAUCUCCUUAGACUCUUCAAAUUUAGAAAUAACUCUACAAAACUUGAAUUGACUAUCUUUUCCUUUCAUUAUCUGAACCAUCUUGUACUAGUUUUUUGUUAUUGUAAUUCAUAAGCGGAUGUAAAUUUUCUUAGUAGGACCUAUGAGGAUGUAAAUACCAUUCUCCUUAGCUCAAUAAGAAAGCUUAUUCUCUGGAUAAAGAGUA